CUCGCGGCCGUUAAAAUGGCGGCCGGCAAGUGGCGAGGAGGAGGAGUGUGUCUGUGCGUGGGCGACCACGUCCCGUCCUGACAGGGACACAGCCUGCGGUAACACCGAGGGGAGCCGAGGGAGGCUUGUGUAGCUGUCUGCAGCUGCCGCGCUGCGAAAGGCGGUCCGGGCGGCGCUGACGGGGGCGGAGGGACUGUAAUUCUGGUAGAGCCGCUGGUAUUGAAAUGCAUCGCAGGCAAAGGCGUGCACUGCCUUUGUGCAGUGGCACAUCUCAGAGCCAAGAGAAGUCCACUCUAUUCCGAAGUAAAAAAAUGCUGCCUUCAGAUUUUCCUGAGAGAUAAAGACGAGCAGAGACAAGCUGAAAUAGAAGAGGUGGCCACUGUCCUCCAAACUGAAACCAGAAUCAAGCAUGGCUUUGGGGUUUUGUUGGUUUUUUUUUUUUUUUCCCCUAUUUCCUUCUAACCCAUGGAUAGAAACUAAUAAGCCAUGUAUGAUCUAGUGUUACAAUGGCUUUCCCUUGCUGUAAUUUUUGCCUGUGAUCUUGGGACCACAGAAAGUACCAGUGUACCUUAAAUGGUAUACGACUAUAUCCUGAACAUGAUAGCCAGAAUCUUGAGGCACAGAAGAACCCUUAUUUUGGACCUGGAUUAUCAAGGUAAUUGAGCCUUAUGAAGUCGAGUUGUGUGUGACACAAGUGGUAAUGUUUAUGUGCAAAAGCACAGCUUUAUAAUGCCUGUAGCUACCCCCUCUUUUUUUGGGCAAAAGGCCCUGUGGGAUUCACAGAGACUGCAUCAUUCCAGCACACUGCCCUGCACUCAUUUCAAGAUGGACUUGCCACUUGAAGCUGCUGUAGUGAGAGAUGGGGAAGUAGGAAAUACUUCUUGUAUCCCACUGAGCUCCCUCAGGUGGGGGAUUACUGCUGACAUCUGCAGCCCAACUCAAUAUCAAGUCCAGCCAGUUGGCUGUCAGGCUGAGUUGUCCCAACAUGGGGGACAGUCAGUCUGCGUGAAGAUUUUGUAGUUGCUCAUGUUGCUGCAGUUUCAUCUCCAGGCCUCAUCCCUGAUUUCUUGCCAGAGCAGGAAGCAAAGCUCCUUCUAGCCCAGUUUUUCAGACCCAAAGAAUUCAGGUGAAGGUUGGCUCAAGUAUUUAAUUUUUCUGAUUUUCUCCAAAAUUUGAUCUGCCGCUCAUGAAAGCUACAGGUGUAAAUCUAAGAUGUGAUUCAGAGAGUCAGGUUCCCAUUUUGGUGCAGUAUAAAGCAUCUGUUCUGAAUUCAGCACAUGUAACCUCUCUCACCGAUGCUAAAAGAAAUUAUGUAUGUGAAAUGAAUAGAGGGCAUGCCGCAUACAUGAACUGAGCAAGCAGAUUUAUAGACUCGGUUACACUACUGUAAAGGUGAGGUAGUCCCUUAACUUCUAGUAGCGCUAGUUUAUACCACAGAUAUACUAAUUUAGUCUAAUUUAGUAAUAUAUAUAUAAAUGUAUUUGCAUGUCUGUCUUUAGCAUGGUUG